GAAGCCAGUGCGUCGCGAAGCGCUCCUGCGCGGGUGAGAGCGCCCUCAGUGGGCGUUCCUGGACGAGGGAGCGCGUGCGCAACAUCUGCGCGUGCAACACUCGACGCUCGCGCUGCAGUUCACCGUACCGUGUGCGAAGCCAGCUUAACUCCAAUUGGCGCAUUUGCUACAUCAACAUUGUUCAGUUAGUCGCGUGUUUAUAAGAAGAAUUUUCUCAUUUGUAAUCCGACUAUAGAAGAAGAGUGAACUUUUUAUGAAG